rnacentral:pre_miRNA from 1 species
AACCCAGGGGUAUUUUUCUCUAACGUUUCACACGUUAGAGGAAAAUACCCCUGGGUU